rfam:Felis catus isolate Cinnamon breed Abyssinian chromosome E3, whole genome shotgun sequence.
GCCUGGGUGGCUCAGUCGGUUAAGCGUCCGACUUCGGCUCAGGUCACGAUCUCCGAGUCCGUGGGUUCAAGCCCCGCGUCGGGCU